rnacentral:rRNA from 1 species
UGGAGAGUUUGAUCCUGGCUCAGGAUGAACGCUGGCGGCGUGCCUAAUACAUGCAAGUCGAGCGAACGGACGAGAAGCUUGCUUCUCUGAUGUUAGCGGCGGACGGGUGAGUAACACGUGGAUAACCUACCUAUAAGACUGGGAUAACUUCGGGAAACCGGAGCUAAUACCGGAUAAUAUUUUGAACCGCAUGGUUCAAAAGUGAAAGACGGUCUUGCUGUCACUUAUAGAUGGAUCCGCGCUGCAUUAGCUAGUUGGUAAGGUAACGGCUUACCAAGGCAACGAUGCAUAGCCGACCUGAGAGGGUGAUCGGCCACACUGGAACUGAGACACGGUCCAGACUCCUACGGGAGGCAGCAGUAGGGAAUCUUCCGCAAUGGGCGAAAGCCUGACGGAGCAACGCCGCGUGAGUGAUGAAGGUCUUCGGAUCGUAAAACUCUGUUAUUAGGGAAGAACAUAUGUGUAAGUAACUGUGCACAUCUUGACGGUACCUAAUCAGAAAGCCACGGCUAACUACGUGCCAGCAGCCGCGGUAAUACGUAGGUGGCAAGCGUUAUCCGGAAUUAUUGGGCGUAAAGCGCGCGUAGGCGGUUUUUUAAGUCUGAUGUGAAAGCCCACGGCUCAACCGUGGAGGGUCAUUGGAAACUGGAAAACUUGAGUGCAGAAGAGGAAAGUGGAAUUCCAUGUGUAGCGGUGAAAUGCGCAGAGAUAUGGAGGAACACCAGUGGCGAAGGCGACUUUCUGGUCUGUAACUGACGCUGAUGUGCGAAAGCGUGGGGAUCAAACAGGAUUAGAUACCCUGGUAGUCCACGCCGUAAACGAUGAGUGCUAAGUGUUAGGGGGUUUCCGCCCCUUAGUGCUGCAGCUAACGCAUUAAGCACUCCGCCUGGGGAGUACGACCGCAAGGUUGAAACUCAAAGGAAUUGACGGGGACCCGCACAAGCGGUGGAGCAUGUGGUUUAAUUCGAAGCAACGCGAAGAACCUUACCAAAUCUUGACAUCCUUUGACAACUCUAGAGAUAGAGCCUUCCCCUUCGGGGGACAAAGUGACAGGUGGUGCAUGGUUGUCGUCAGCUCGUGUCGUGAGAUGUUGGGUUAAGUCCCGCAACGAGCGCAACCCUUAAGCUUAGUUGCCAUCAUUAAGGUGAAUACGUUCCCGGGUCUUGUACACACCGCCCGUCACACCACGAGAGUUUGUAACACCCGAAGCCGGUGGAGUAACCUUUUAGGAGCUAGCCGUCGAAGGUGGGACAAAUGAUUGGGGUGAAGUCGUAACAAGGUAGCCGUAUCGGAAGGUGCGGCUGGAUCACCUCCUUUCU